rnacentral:rRNA from 1 species
GAUGAACGCUGGCGGCGUGCUUAACACAUGCAAGUCGAACGGUGAAGCUCCAGCUUGCUGGAGUGGAUCAGUGGCGAACGGGUGAGUAACACGUGAGCAACCUGCCCCUGACUCUGGGAUAACAGCCGGAAACGGCUGCUAAUACCGGAUAUGCACCAUGAACGCAUGUUCUGUGGUGGGAAAGAUUUUUCGGUUGGGGAUGGGCUCGCGGCCUAUCAGCUUGUUGGUGAGGUAAUGGCUCACCAAGGCGUCGACGGGUAGCCGGCCUGAGAGGGUGACCGGCCACACUGGGACUGAGACUCGGCCCAGACUCCUACGGGAGGCAGCAGUGGGGAAUAUUGCACAAUGGGCGAAAGCCUGAUGCAGCAACGCCGCGUGAGGGAUGACGGCCUUCGGGUUGUAAACCUCUUUUAGCAGGGAAGAAGCGAGAGUGACGGUACCUGCAGAAAAAGCGCCGGCUAACUACGUG